AGUGCCACGGGAUAGUCACUGCACGAGCACCCUGCCACGUGAGGGAGGGUGAGGAGAGAGUGCCAUGCUGUGGAUGGGCAGUGAGAGUGGAGCAAUGAUGGAGCGUUGCAGUGGGAGGGGUGCUGAGGGAAGCACCACGCUGCAUGAGUGGGCAACACUGCGGGAGGGGCAAUGAGGAGGGAGCGUGUGCCGAGGGAGGGGCAACGAGGAGGGAGCAUGUGCCAAGGGAGGGGCAAUGAGGGUGGAGUGUGCCGAGGGAGGGGCAAUGAGGAGGGAGCGCCAUGCUGAAGGAGGGGCAAUGAGAUUGGAGUGCUGUGCUGUCGGAGGAGGUUAAGGAGGAGCUCUGCAGUGGGAGGAGCGGAGGGGAGGGAACGCCGUGCUGCGUUACACGAGGACAGCAGACAGGCGGCAGCGUGCUGGAAUUACUACCAGAAACUCAGGGCGGUGCGCUGACCCUGAACCUGGACUCAGCAGGAAGUUUUGAAAGGGGAAGGAGGCUUGCAGAGCGGCAGGGAGGGGCUGGUGGGGCGGAGGUGCUAGGGUAACAGAGAUGAAGCACACAGCCCCUGGCAGGGCGGGCGGGCAUGCGUGUGUGUGUCUGUCUGUCUGUCUCUGUGUGUGAGAGUGAGUGAGUGUGUGUGUGUGUGUGUGUGUGUGUGUGUGUGUGUGUGUGUGUGUGCGUCUGUCUAUCUCUGUGUGUGAGAGUGAGUGUGUGUGUGUGUGUCUGUCUGUCUCUGUGUGUGAGAGUGAGUGAGUGUGUGUGUGUGUGUCUGUCUGGGUGUGUGAAUGUGUGUGUGUGUGUGCGUGUGUGUCUGUCUGGGUGUGUGAGAGUGAGUGAGUGUGUGUGCGUGUGUGUCUGUCUGUCUCUGUGUGUGAGAGUGUGUGUGCGUGUGUGCGUGCGUGCGUGCGUAUCUAUGCGUGUGUGUGCGCCUGUGCGUGUGUGUGCGUGUGUCUGUCUGUCUCUGUGUGUGAGAGUGUGUGUGUGUGUGCGUGCGUAUCUGUGCGUGUGUGCGCCUGUGUGUGUGUGUGCGUGUGUCUGUCUGUCUGUCUCUGUGUGUGAGAGUGUGUGUGUGUGUGCGUGCGUAUCUGUGCGUGUGUGCGCCUGUGUGUGUGUGUGCGUGUGUCUGUCUGUCUGUCUCUGUGUGUGAGAGUGUGUGUGUGUGUGUGUGUGUGUGUGCGCGUGCAUGCGUGUGUCUGUGCGUGAGAGUGUGUUUAUAUAUAACAGGAGGAAGGUGAGGGGUCUGGUUCAAAGUGCUACCACAGGCAUGACUAAUUCCCCCUCCACUCAGUAACCGAGUUGCUCUUUGGACUCCUGGCCCCAGCAGGUUCCUUCACCAGCCUGGGUGAGGUCAGUUCCUGUGUUGCUAUCGAGACUAUCAUCCCCUCUGUCCGCAGGCAAGAGUUCCGCUUUCUCAGUCUCAGAACUGCUGCAACUAUAAAUAAGGCUUGCGUCAGGCAGGGCGGCCUGUGUGAGAGCAGCGGGGGGAAGGGAGGCAGAGAAACGGCUCCUGGUCUCUGCUGGAGAGGGGGAAGCGCGAGGGCUUGGUGGAACGCGAGCGAAGUCAGACGCCGUGGAAGACGGUCAGGACAAGAAUGGACUCAGCUUCUGGAGAGGGAUCGAAGAUCAGCACUUGUACAAACGUCACUUGGCACAGAACUGCCCGAGUUGUGGGUCGAACAGACUGGUGCCUGGCAGCCGGAACCCAUGCCAACCCCACAGCGCAGCACAACUCCCAGAGAGCGAAUAUGGCAGAGUCACCACAGCCUCAUUGCAGACGGUGAUCAGCACGGCAAUUUGAGGAUCUGGAGAGCUUUGGGAUCUGAGAACUCAGGCAUCCUCUCCCGCCAUUUGCUAUUUUCAAAUAUCGGUGUUGUGAAUGUCCGUGCCCUUGGGAUUGACUAGUUGUCCGCUUACCAAUGGCUCUGACUGACGGCUCCUUUCGUUUCCUGUUCUCACUAACCCCUGACUUACACAUUGAGCUGCUUUGUAUUUCUUCUUUCGACAGUACACACACACACACACACACACAGACAGAGGAACCGUUUGAUCUGUCUGCCUUACGGAACUCUGAAGGCUGUCGGGAGUGCUUGUAUAAAAUCAUCAGGGGCAAAGAUAAUGUGGAUGGUCACAGCCUUUUUCCUCAGUGCAAGUCAGAUCAGCAGCUACAGGAAACGUUUGGUGCAGGUCAUUACCGCUCAAGGAGGUUUGACCAGUUAUCGAAUACAAGGGUUCAUGUGUUUUUUCCAGCCUGGACAGUGAAUGAUUGAACAACAUGUUCAAUAAAGACAUGAAAAGUACAAUUAGCUUAGGCAGAUUGUGUUUGUCUACUAUAGUCACUUAGAUGAAGAUCAGAAUACAUUUAAUGAGUAAUUAAUGCAGAAAACCAGGUUGCAAAGGGUUCAUGUACUGUUUCUUGCAACUGUAAGCUCUUUACAGAGCGGUGCAGAUGUGAAAUACCCUGGUAGAGGCAGACAUACUAGGGACAUUUAAGAAACUCUUAAGACAGCAGAUGGAGGAUGGAAAUAAAGAAGGGCCAUAUGGGAGGGAAGUGUUAGAUCCUAGAGUAGGUUAAAAGGUCAGCACAACAUCAUGGGCCGAAGGGCCUGUAUACUUUAUGUACACCCACCAGCUCCCCCCAACCCCUAUCAACCCUGCUUGAUGCCUAAAAAUAACUCAGUGGUUGAAUGCAUUUUCUCCCUGUCACAACAAUUCUGCCUCAGGAUGUUCCAAGCACUCUGUAAAUGACGAAUCCUGCCCAAGCAUUUUACCCAGAACUGACGUCAGGCUGACUGAGUUUCAGAGUUCCCCUACACUCCUCACCUCUCCUGUUACAUACGCUCCUGUCUAGACAACAGGGACAGUUUCACAACCCAGAGAAUUAUUGAAGAACAAUGUUCUUAAAACUGCGAUGGGAGGUAUCAGGAACAGGGCAUUUGUUCCUGUUUUACCCCUUUGCACCUUUGUAGUCAGUUGUAACAAUAAUUUCUACAUCGGCUGUAACUCCUUUCCCAGUAAUUGGACAGGAAGUGACUUAGACGUUCAGAUCUGUCAGAUUUUGCCAGAACUGUUUCUGCCCAAGCCACAUUUAUUUCUGCUUCUCCCUUGUGGUUAUUUUUAGUGACUGUCUUUGCCAUUGAACUUUACUUAGCUAAUCAAGGAUUAUCCCUCACUGCCCCAUGCAUUUUCUAAUUUUCCCUUGCCAAUACCACAUGCUCUUCACCAACCAGGGCAGUGCCCACCCUCUCAACAUCUGGGCUGUCCACCAGCAAUGCUCGCACACAUCUGGGGAGCAAAUGAACAAAGUCUGUCCUCUCAACAUCUGGUCUGCAGACCAAGCAAGGCCCACCCUCAACAUCUGGGCUGACAACAGCUGUGUUGUGAGGACACCAACUUCUAACAAUGGUCACAGGCCGUCAAUGGGGUAACAGGGCAGAGUUCGUGUGUUUAGAAAGCCAACUCUGCAAUCCCCAAGUUUGAAUCCCGUCAGAGAUUAUGGAGAAACUUCAAAUAGAUCUCACCCUCCCAGACUCAGGACCCAAACACUCCAUCCCCAUGGCUUCUCAGACCACUGCCUUCCCUCUGUCCCUUAUCUGCUCUCUCCCUGCCCCCUCACUCUGCCAGUCCUCUUUCCCUCCCUCUGCCCCUUCAUGCCCUCAGUCUCCCUCCUCCCUCUCUUCUCCCCUGCUCUUCCCUCAUUCCCCUGACCCUCCCUCCUCCCCAUCUUUUUGCUUCUCCCUCAAUUGCCAGACCCCUCUCUCCCCUCACUUCCUGGAUCCUCUUUCCCUCACUCCUCUGCCCCUCUCUCUCCUCACCCAAGCCUCCCUCAUUCCCCUGCCCCCUCUCUCUCUCCUGUCACGCU